UCGAAUAUUCGAGUCGAAUCGAAUAUAUUCGAAUAAACUGGUCGAAUCGAAUACGAAUAAAAUUUGAUAUUCGAAUAUUAAACGAAUACGAAUACGAAUAUUCGAAUAUAUAAUCGAAUUCGAAUCGAAUACUGAGAUAUUUGACUCGAUUCGAUUCGUUUACACCCCUAAUUUGGAUUACCAACA